rnacentral:rRNA from 1 species
UGGGGGGAUAUUGCACAAUGGGGGGAAACCCUGAUGCAGCGACGCCGCGUGGAGGAAGAAGGUUUUCGGAUUGUAAACUCCUGUCGUUAGGGACGAUAAUGACGGUACCUAACAAGAAAGCACCGGCUAACUACGUGCCAGCAGCCGCGGUAAUACGUAGGUGGCAAGCGUUGUCCGGAAUUACUGGGUGUAAAGGGAGCGUAGGCGGGAAGGCAAGUUGAUUGUCUAAACUAUGGGCUCAACCCAUAGUCGCGAUCAAAACUACUUUUCUUGAGUGAAGUAGAGGUAAGCGGAAUUCCUAGUGUAGCGGUGAAAUGCGUAAAUAUUAGGAGGAACACCAGUGGCGAAGGCGGCUUACUGGGCUUUAACUGACGCUGAGGCUCGAAAGCGUGGGUAGCAAACAGGAUUAGAUACCCUGGUAGU